AGAGUUUGAUCCUGGCUCAGGACGAACGCUGGCGGCGUGCCUAACACAUGCAAGUCGAGCGAUGAAGUUUCCUUCGGGAAAUGGAUUAGCGGCGGACGGGUGAGUAACACGUGGGUAACUUGCCUUAUAGUGGGGGAUAGCCUUUCGAAAGGAAGAUUAAUACCGCAUAAGAUUGUAGUAUCGCAUGAUAUAGCAAUUAAAGGAGCAAUCCGCUAUAAGAUGGACCCGCGUCGCAUUAGCUAGUUGGUGAGGUAAUGGCUCACCAAGGCGACGAUGCGUAGCCGACCUGAGAGGGUGAUCGGCCACAUUGGGACUGAGACACGGCCCAGACUCCUACGGGAGGCAGCAGUGGGGAAUAUUGCACAAUGGGCGAAAGCCUGAUGCAGCAACGCCGCGUGAGUGAUGACGGCCUUCGGGUUGUAAAACUCUGUCUUCAGGGACGAUAAUGACGGUACCUGAGG
rnacentral:rRNA from 1 species